AUUGCACAACUUAAGUUUGUCGAGGAUCAUUUUUUUUUUUGAAACUGAAUCCUGCUCUUUUUUAGGUGCUUGAAACCCUCGAUGAAUGUGUCAAUGUGCAAAGAUAAACUAUUGUUCUCUGUUGAUUAGUGGUUUUGAUAUUUGCUUUGGAAAUUUUUUUUCCCUUUCCUAUAAUUGGCUUUUGUUUUAACAGUCAUUUGGAAAGAAUAAGCAAUAUUAAAAUUGCGGCUUUAUAUUUAAACGUUGUUUUGCUUUUGCAUGGAUAUUUUAUUUAUGCACUUCUCCUGUUUUAUCAGACCUUCAAUAUUGGUUUUCCCUUCUGUUAUGUUUUCCUUUGCGCUGUUUCCCCCACUGUUGAUAUGUUGUGUAUUAACGCCGGUCGUGUUGUACGUGUUUCAUUGCUGAACAUAUAAUCACUUUUGUUGGAGUUCUUCUUUCAAGUUUGGUAUAGUUCGAUUUGAGAUACACAACAUGGUUUGGCUUAUGGGAGAAACAAUCGGGAUUUCACGAAUAUUGGGAAAUCAUAGAAGUGAAGAUGCCCGAGACAGUUUUGUUCAAAAAGAAGCUAUAAGAACAUGAUUC
rnacentral:snoRNA from 1 species